GGAUGAACGUUGGCGGCGUGCCUAAUACAUGCAAGUCGAACGAAGACUGUAGUAAUACUGUCUUAGUGGCGAACGGGUGAGUAACGCGUGGGUGACCUGCCCCGAAGUGUGGGAUAACAGUUCGAAAGGAUUGCUAAUACUGCAUAAUAUCCAAGAGAUUAGACGCUUUUGGAUUAAAGGAGUAAUUCGCUUCGGGAGGGGCCCGCGUCCCAUCAGCUAGUUGGUAAGGUAAUGGCUUACCAAGGCGAUGACGGGUAGGGGACCUGAGAGGGUGGCCCCCCACAAUGGAACUGAAACACGGUCCAUACACCUACGGGUGGCAGCAGUAGGGAAUAUUAGUAAUGGGCGAAAGCCUGAACUAGCAACGCCGCGUGUGCGAAGAAGGCCUUCGGGUCGUAAAGCACUUUUUGAGAGGAUGAGGAAGGACGGUACUCUCAGAAUAAGUCUCGGCUAACUACGUGCCAGCAGCCGCGGUAACACGUAGGAGGCAAACGUUAUCCGGAUUUACUGGGCGUAAAGCGCGUGUAGGUGGUUUGGUAAGUAGGGCGUGAAAGCUCCUGGCUCAACUGGGAGAGGACGUUCUAAACUGCCAAGCUUGAGGAUGGUAGAGGGAGGUGGAAUUCCAGGUGUAGUGGUGAAAUGCGCAGAUAUCUGGAGGAACACCAGUGGCGAAGGCGGCCUCCUGGACCAUACCUGACACUCAGACGCGAAAGCUAGGGUAGCAAACGGAAUUAGAGACUCCGGUAGUCCUAGCCCUAAACGAUGCAGACUAGGCGUCGGCGGUUUAAUCACCGUCGGUGUCCAAGCUAACGCGAUAAGUCUGCCGCCUGAGGACUACGGCCGCAAGGCUAAAACUCAAAGGAAUUGACGGGUCCCCGCACAAGCAGCGGAGCGUGUGGUUUAAUUCGAUGCUCCGCGAAGAACCUUACCUGGGUUUGACAUAACAGUGGUAGAGAAGUGAAAACGGACCGACCCUUCGGGGAGCUGUUACAGGUGUUGCAUGGCUGUCGUCAGCUCGUGUCGUGAGAUGUUCGGUUAAGUCCGCUAACGAGCGCAACCCACAUUGCGUGUUACAAGUGUCACGCGACACUGCCGGUCUUAAGCCGGAGGAAGGUGUGGACGACGUCAAGUCAGCAUGACCUAUAUAUCCUGGGCUACACACACGCUACAAUGGCCGGUACAACGGGUAGCGAAGCCGCGAGGCGGAGCCAAUCCAGAAAGCCGGUCUCAGUUCAGAUUACAGGCUGCAACCCGCCUGUAUGAAGAUGGAGUUGCUAGUAACCGCAGGUCAGCUAUACUGCGGUGAAUACGUUCCCGGGCCU
rnacentral:rRNA from 1 species